CCUCUUUUUGCCCACCCCCAGCACCAGGUGUGGCCACUAGCCUAUAUGAAGGCCCAAAAUUGUGUGUUCCUUUCUGCUCUGACAAUGGCAUGCCCAUUCGUGCGAGAUGUGGUGGAUGAAGAAGCACUUGUGCUGAGGAGAGCCUUCAGGCGAGAAAGGGUCUUCAGGGACCGGUUGGACCCACUGGCCUUCCCUGAUGACCAUCUAUAUGAAAGAUACAGGUUUUCUGCAGAUGGCAUCAGGUAUCUAUGCAGACUACUGGGUCCCAGGAUUAAGCACCGCACUGCACGGAGCCAUGCACUGAGUGUGGAGCAAAUGGUUUGUGUGGCCUUGCGCUUUUUGCUAGUGGAGCCUUCCUGUACUCAGUGGGGGAUGCUGAACAAGGCCACAAUUUGCCGCACAAUAAGGAGUGUGUGUCUGGCUAUCAAAGCAUUAGCAGAUGUCUUCAUCUCCUUCCCUGGCCACAGAAGACUCUGUGACAUCAAAGAGGAGUUCUAUAGGAUUGCAGAUGGUCUGCAAUGCUGACUGUGUGAUCAGCAAUGUUGUGGCAAAAUGGCCUGGCUCAGUCCAUGACUCCAGAAUCUUUCGGGCCUCUGAAAUCUAUCAGUGCCUAUCACAAGGUGAAUUCUCUGGUGUGUUGCUGGGAGACAGGGGUAUGGCUGCCAGCCUUUUCUCCUGACACCUUUCACAGACUCCCAGGAAGCACAGCAGGCCUACAACCAUGCCCAUGCCAGGACCAGGGCCAGAGUUGAAAUGACCUUUGGCCUCCUGAAGGCACGCUUUCACUGCCUUCACAAAUUAAGGGUCAGCCCUGUUAGGGCAUGUGAUAUUACUGUGGCUUGUGCUGUCCUCCACAAUGUGGCCUGCCUGAGGAAGGAGAGGGCCCCCAGAGUGCCACCAGCCAUGGACUGGGACAAUCCGGCAAUCUUCCCUGAUGACGACAGUGGUCGGCUGCUGAGGGACCAAUAUGUGUUGAAUUAUUUUAGUUAGUAUGUGUGCUUUCAAUUUUGGUUAAAUAUGUCCUGCGGUGGCAGAGGAAUUUGGGUUUUUUUGGGUUCGUUUUUUGACGAAUUUGGCCUCUUAUGUUUGUGCGGUAUACUGUGUGUAAUACAAGGCUGCAGGGAGGCUACUGCAUCCAUUCAUUUGUCUGUUCAGUUGAUGUGUAUGGAUUUGUCCUGCAUUUAUUUUAGUGUGCAGACAUGCAGGGUGUGUUAUAUACAGACCUUUGAAUGUGUAUGUAUCAUUUUGUAUAAUAUGCUUGGAUUCUGUGCUUUCCAUCUUGUAGAGUCACUGUGACUUCAGUUUCAAAAGGAGCUGAUAGUUUACCUGCUUUGUUUUGUCCUUAUUCA